AUUGAACGCUGGCGGCAGGCUUAACACAUGCAAGUCGAGGGGUAGAGGAAGCUUGCUUCCUUGAGACCGGCGCACGGGUGCGUAACGCGUAUGCAACCUACCUUUUACAGAGGGAUAGCCCAGAGAAAUUUGGAUUAAUACCUCAUAGUAUAUAGUCUUCGCAUGUUGACUAUAUUAAAGUUCCAACGGUAAAAGAUGGGCAUGCGUCCUAUUAGCUAGAUGGUAAGGUAACGGCUUACCAUGGCAACGAUAGGUAGGGGUCCUGAGAGGGAGAUCCCCCAAACUGGUACAGAGACACGGACCGGACUCCUACGGGAGGCAGCAGUGGGGAAUAUUGGACAGUGGGCGCAAGCCUGAUCCAGCCAUGCCGCGUGCAGGAAGAAGCAUCUAUGGUGUGUAAACUGCUUUUGUACAGGAAGAAACACCCCGACGUGUCGGGACUUGACGGUACUGUAAGAAUAAGGAUCGGCUAACUCCGUGCCAGCCGCCGCCGUAACAC
rnacentral:rRNA from 1 species